rnacentral:rRNA from 1 species
CAAAGGAAUUGACGGGGAGCACCACAACGGUGGAGCUUGCGGUUUAAUUGGAUUCAACGCCGGAAAUCUUACCGGGACCGACAGCAAUAUGAAGGCCAGGCUGAAGACUUUGCCGGAUUAGCUGAGAGGUGGUGCAUGGCCGUCGUCAGUUCGUACUGUGAAGCAUCCUGUUAAGUCAGGCAACGAGCGAGACCCACGCCCACAGUUGCCAGCGUACUCUCCGGAGUGACGGGUACACUGUGGGGACCGCCGCUGCUAAAGCGGAGGAAGGAAUGGGCAACGGUAGGUCAGUAUGCCCCGAAUAUCCCGGGCUACACGCGAGCUACAAUGGUUGGUACAAUGGGUAUCUACCCCGAAAGGGGACGGAAAUCUCCUAAAACCAAUCUUAGUUCGGAUUGAGGGCUGCAACUCGCCCUCAUGAAGCUGGAAUCCGUAGUAAUCGCGUUUCAACAGAACGCGGUGAAUACGUCCCUGCUCCUU